rnacentral:rRNA from 1 species
GGUAUCCUGACCGUGCUAAGGUAGCAUAAUCAUUUGCCUCUUAAUUGGUGGCUAGUAUGAAUGGACACACGCAAGUGCCCCUGUCUCAUUAGUAUUAAUAAAAAUUACCAAUCAGGUGAAGAGGCCUGAAUAAAAUAAAAAGACAAAAAGACCCUAUGGAGCUUUAUUUAAAUCCCUAAUCACACCAGCCCUACACCACCCCACCUUAGGCAAAUAAAUUUAGUUGGGGCGACUAAGGAAAAUCAUAAAUCUUCCUCCCUAAAAAGAAAAUAAAUCCCGAUUGAUCCGUUAUACGAAUAUAGACACAGCUACCCUAG